CCUACGGGAGGCAGCAGUGAGGAAUAUUGGUCAAUGGGCUGACGCCUGAACCAGCCAAGUCGCGUGAGGGAAGACUGCCCGAUGGGUUGUAAACCUCUUUUGUCAGGGAGCAAGUGGCGCUACGUGUAGCGUUAUCGAGAGGACCUGAAGAAAAAGCAGCGCCUAACUCCGUGCCAGCAGCCGCGGUAAUACGGAGGAUGAGGUCGUUAUCAGGAUUUAGUGGGUUUAAAGGGGGCGUAGGCGGAAUGCCAAGUCAGCGGUAAAACCGCGGGGCUCAACCUCGCUCCGCCGUUGAAACUGGCGUUCUUGAGUGGGCUAGAAGUAUGCGGAAUGCGUUGUGUAGCGGUGAAAUGCAUAGAUAUCACGCAGAACUCCGAUUGCGAAGGCAGCAUACCGGCGCCCAACUGACGCUGAGGCACGAAAGCGUGGGUAUCGAACAGGAUUAGAUACCCGGGUAGUC
rnacentral:rRNA from 1 species